rnacentral:rRNA from 1 species
UUGGCUCGUUCUAUAUGGUCAGUCAUCCAAAUAGCUUCUGGCUUGUAUCCUCCUUGUAGUGUUGCUAAUGUAUUUGGCAACUGGUUACAUGGGAUUGAUCACAGGUUUAGAACUUUUCUCAAGAUGGGAGCGCUUGCCGUUAUUUGGUCGCUUUGGCUAUGUAGAAAUGAUAAGGUUUUUAACGAUAAAAGUACUUCCCUGAUGCAGAUUAUCUACAGAUGUACCGGGACUCUUCGUUUAUGGUCCUCUCUACAACGCGUGGAGAAUCGAGACCUGUUUACGGAGGUGUGUACACGAUUGGAGGCUACGGCGAGGAAUACUUUUACCCAGCAUGGGUGGCAGCAUGAUAUUAGGAUUGACCACCCUCCGCUUUAG